rnacentral:rRNA from 1 species
GACGAACGCUGGCGGCGUGCUUAACACAUGCAAGUCGAACGGAAAGGCCCUGCUUUUGUGGGGUGCUCGAGUGGCGAACGGGUGAGUAACACGUGAGUAACCUGCCCUUGACUUUGGGAUAACUUCAGGAAACUGGGGCUAAUACCGGAUAGGAGCUCCUGCUGCAUGGUGGGGGUUGGAAAGUUUCGGCGGUUGGGGAUGGACUCGCGGCUUAUCAGCUUGUUGGUGGGGUAGUGGCUUACCAAGGCUUUGACGGGUAGCCGGCCUGAGAGGGUGACCGGCCACAUUGGGACUGAGAUACGGCCCAGACUCCUACGGGAGGCAACAGUGGGGAAUAUUGCACAAUGGGCGGGAGCCUGAUGCAGCAACGCCGCGGGCGGGAUGACGGCCUUCGGGUUGUAAACCGCUUUCGCCUGUGACGAAGCGUGAGUGACGGUAAUGGGUAAAGAAGCACCGGCUAACUACGUG